rnacentral:rRNA from 1 species
UACGGAGGGGGCUAGCGUUGUUCGGAAUUACUGGGCGUAAAGCGCACGUAGGCGGCUUUGUAAGUUAGAGGUGAAAGCCCAGGGCUUAACCCUGGAAUUGCCUUUAAGACUGCAUCGCUAGAAUCGUGGAGAGGUGAGUGGAAUUCCGUGUGUAGAGGUGAAAUUCGUAGAUAUUCGGAAGAACACCAGUGGCGAAGGCGACUCACUGGACACGUAUUGACGCUGAGGUGCGAAAGCGUGGGGAGCAAACAGG